AUUGACAUUUCACAUAUCCAAGUUGCAUUUUAACUUGUACUAUUGACUAGUGACUCUCUCUCUCUCUUCCUAGUAGCACUUUCUAAUUUCAGGAACUGGUGAGCAGAGGUGGUGAAUGAAAUCAACUCGAAAUUAGUUCUAAAUUUUGAAAAAAAUCUCAGAAAUUUGUAAUGGAGGGGACGAUUCGAUGCUCAGCAAACUAUGUGCCGUUGAGUCCAAUAAGCUUUUUGGAAAGAGCAGCAGUGGUUUACAGCAACAGAGUUUCUAUUGUUUACGGAGAUGUUAAGUUUACUUGGGCAGAGACCCGCCAAAGGUGCCUCAAACUCGCUUCAGCUCUGAUCCAGCUUGGGAUUUCUCGCUGUGAUGUCGUUGCUGUCUUGGCUCCAAAUAUUCCUGCUAUGUAUGAGCUACACUUUGGGGUGCCUAUGGCUGGGGCAGUUCUUUGUACUCUUAAUGUUCGUCACGAUUCAGCAAUGGUAUCGGUGUUGCUCAAACAUUCAGAGGCAAAAGUCAUAUUUGUAGAUUAUCAGUUCCUUGAUAUUGCUAAGGGGGCAUUAAAGAUUCUUUCGAAGGAAAGGAUCAAAUUUCCUUAUCUAGUCCUAAUCCCCGACUGCGACAGGCAGCUGUCUAGUGUUCUUAAUAGGGCAUUGAUACCGGGAGAUCUGGAAUACGAGUCCUUUUUAGCGACCGGGAAACCAAAUUUUGAGAUAGUAUGGCCAAUUGAUGAAUUGGAUGCCAUUGCUCUGAAUUAUACUUCAGGUACAACAUCCAGUCCAAAAGGGGUUGUCUACAGUCACAGAGGAGCAUAUCUUAAUUCUCUUGCUGCAGUUCUUCUCAAUGAAUUGCCUUUAAUGCCUGUCUACUUAUGGUGUGUUCCCAUGUUUCAUUGCAAUGGAUGGUGUCUAACUUGGGGCAUCGCAGCACAGGGUGGCAAAAAUGUUUGUCUUAGGAAUGUUNAAUGUCACAGCCGCAGGAAUUUUUACAAGCAUAGCUGGGCACCAAGUGAGCCACAUGGGUGGUGCGCCUACAGUUUUAAACAUGAUAAUAAAUGCACCUCCUAGUGUUCGGAGGUCACUUCCAAGGAAAGUAGCAGUGAUGACUGGUGGUGCACCACCACCUCCUCAAGUGCUAUUUAAGAUGGAGGAGCUCGGUUUUGAUGUAACUCACUCAUAUGGUCUAACUGAAACCUAUGGUCCAGGAACGGUUUGCACUUGGAAACCUGAGUGGAGUUCUUUGUCACCUGAUGAGCAGGCAAAGAUCAAGUCUCGUCAGGGAUUGCACCACAUUGGCAUGGAGGAAGUAGAUGUGAAGGAUCCAGCUUCAAUGAAGAGCAUACCUCCAGAUGCAAAAACCAUGGGUGAGGUAAUGUUUAGAGGAAACACUGUAAUGAAUGGGUACUUGAAGAAUCUCAAAGCCACAGAAGAUGCUUUCAAAGGGGGUUGGUUUCGAAGUGGAGACCUUGCAGUGAAACACCCCGAUGGUUACAUUGAAUUGAAGGAUCGCACAAAGGACAUCAUUGUUUCAGGUGGAGAAAACAUUAGCACGAUUGAGGUGGAGUCGGUGAUAUUCAGCCAUCCAGCCGUUCUUGAGGCUGCUGUGGUCGGAAAACCAGAUGAUUACUGGGGUGAGACACCUUGUGCCUUUGUGAAACUAAAGGAUGGUAAUAAUGCAACUGCCAAUGAAAUCAUCAACUACUGCCGUGAUCGUUUACCACAUUACAUGGCUCCUAAAACAGUAAUUUUCGAUGAUUUGCCCAAAACUUCUACAGGAAAGACACAAAAAUUUGUUUUGAGACAGAAGGCCAAAGCUCUGGGGAGUAUCUCAAAGGCCAGCAAACUAUAAUUCAUAACUUUCCAGUGUUGUGGAUAAACUGAUAACAUUAUUGCUAAAAUGAGAAGUGGCCUCUGUUUUAUUUGAUUGAAUCACAUUUAUGCUGUGGGAAUGCCUGUUGUACAUGAUAAUCUACAAAUUUCACAGCCAUUUAAGCUGCACAAACGCAAGGUUAGCAAGUAAAUGCUUAUAGCAUUGUUUCAUUAAAAGUUAA